ACGACGCUGGCGGCGUGCUUUACACAUGCAAGUCGAGCGGCAUCGCGUCCUUCGGGGAUGGCGGCGAGCGGCGAACGGGUGAGUAAUACAUCGGAACGUACCUUUUAGUGGGGGAUAACUCAUCGAAAGAUGAGCUAAUACCGCAUAAUCUCUGAGGAGGAAAGGCGGGGACUCGGAAGAGCCUGUCGCUGAGAGAGCGGCCGAUGGCUGAUUAGCUAGUUGGAGGGGUAAUGGCCCACCAAGGCGAUGAUCAGUAGCUGUUCUGAGAGGAAGAUCAGCCACACUGGGACUGAGACACGGCCCAGACUCCUACGGGAGGCAGCAGUGGGGAAUUUUGGACAAUGGGGGGAACCCUGAUCCAGCAACGCCGCGUGAAUGAAGAAGGCCUUAGGGUUGUAAAGUUCUUUUGUCUGGGAGCAAAAGGUUGGUGCUAAUAUCAUCAGCUGUUGAGAGUACCAGAAGAAUAAGCACCGGCUAACUACGUG
rnacentral:rRNA from 1 species